UACAGAGGAGCCAAGCGUUGUCCGGAUUGACUGGGCGUAAAGCGCACGCAGGCGGAUGCGCGCGUGGGGUGUGAAAUCUGGCCGCUUAACGGCCAGGCGCCAUCCCAUACGGCGCGUCUGGAGUGAUGCAGAGGUCGAUGGAAUUGCCGGUGUAGUGGUGAAAUGCGUAGAUAUCGUUCGGAACGCCGACGGUGAAAACAGCUCGCUGGGAGCAUCCUGACGCUGAGACGCGAAAGCCAGGGGAGCGAACGGG
rnacentral:rRNA from 1 species